rnacentral:rRNA from 1 species
CUGAGCAGCCAUGCCGCGUGUGUGAAGAAGGCCUUCGGGUUGUAAAGCACUUUCAGUCGUGAGGAAGGUAGUGUAGUUAAUAGCUGCAUUGCUUGACGUUAGCGACAGAAGAAGCACCGGCUAACUCCGUGCCAGCAGCCGCGGUAAUACGGAGGGUGCGAGCGUUAAUCGGAAUUACUGGGCGUAAAGCGCAUGCAGGUGGUUCGUUAAGUCAGAUGUGAAAGCCCGGGGCUCAACCUCGGAACUGCAUUUGAAACUGGCGGACUAGAGUACUGUAGAGGGGGGUAGAAUUUCAGGUGUAGCGGUGAAAUGCGUAGAGAUCUGAAGGAAUACCGGUGGCGAAGGCGGCCCCCUGGACAGAUACUGACACUCAGAUGCGAAAGCGUGGGGAGCAAACAGGAUUAGAUACCCUGGUAGUCCACGCCGUAAACGAUGUCUACUUGGAGGUUGUGGCCUUGAGCCGUGGCUUUCGGAGCUAACGCGUUAAGUAGACCGCCUGGGGAGUACGGUCGCAAGAUUAAAACUCAAAUGAAUUGACGGGGGCCCGCACAAGCGGUGGAGCAUGUGGUUUAAUUCGAUGCAACGCGAAGAACCUUACCUACUCUUGACAUCCAGAGAAGCCAGCGGAGACGCAGGUGUGCCUUCGGGAGCUCUGAGACAGGUGCUGCAUGGCUGUCGUCAGCUCGUGUUGUGAAAUGUUGGGUUAAGUCCCGCAACGAGCGCAACCCUUAUCCUUGUUUGCCAGCGAGUAAUGUCGGGAACUCCAGGGAGACUGCCGGUGAUAAACCGGAGGAAGGUGGGGACGACGUCAAGUCAUCAUGGCCCUUACGAGUAGGGCUACACACGUGCUACAAUGGCGCAUACAGAGGGCAGCCAACUUGCGAAAGUGAGCGAAUCCCAAAAAGUGCGUCGUAGUCCGGAUUGGAGUCUGCAACUCGACUCCAUGAAGUCGGAAUCGCUAGUAAUCGUAGAUCAGAAUGCUACGGUGAAUACGUUCCCGGGCCUUGUACACACCGCCCGUCACACCAUGGGAAGUGGGCUGCAAAAGAAGUGGGUAGUUUAACCUUCGGGAGGACGCUCACCACUUUGGGGGUCAUGACUGGGGUGAUCG